rnacentral:rRNA from 1 species
AAAUGACGGUACCUGACUAAGAAGCCCCGGCUAACUACGUGCCAGCAGCCGCGGUAAUACGUAGGGGGCAAGCGUUAUCCGGAUUUACUGGGUGUAAAGGGAGCGUAGACGGCAGCGCAAGUCUGAAGUGAAAGCCCGGGGCUCAACCCCGGAAUGGCUUUGGAAACUGUGCAGCUAGAGUACCGGAGGGGUAAGCGGAAUUCCUAGUGUAGCGGUGAAAUGCGUAGAUAUUAGGAGGAACACCAGUGGCGAAGGCGGCUUACUGGACGGUAACUGACGUUGAGGCUCGAAAGCGUGGGGAGCAAACAGGAUUAGAUACCCUGGUAGUCCACGCGGUAAACGAUGAAUGCUAGGUGUUGGUGAGCAAAGCUCAUCGGUGCCGCCGCAAACGCAUUAAGCAUUCCACCUGGGGAGUACGUUCGCAAGAAUGAAACUCAAA